rnacentral:rRNA from 1 species
UCGAACGAGAAAUUUCGAGCUUGCUCGGGAGAGUAAAGUGGCGCACGGGUGAGUAACGCGUGGGUAACCUGUCCUUAAAUUUGGGAUAAUCCACCGAAAGGUGGCCUAAUACCAAAUACAGUCCAAGGAACCAAGGUUCUUGGGAUGAAAGCUGACCUCUUCAUGAAAGUUGGCGUUUGAGGAGGGGCUCGCGUACCAUUAGCUUGUUGGUAGGGUAAUGGCCUACCAAGGCUACGAUGGUUAGCUGGUCUGAGAAGAUGACCAGCCACACUGGAACUGAAACACGGUCCAGACUCCUACGGGAGGCAGCAGUGAGGAAUCUUGCGCAAUGGGGGAAACCCUGACGCAGCGACGCCGUGUGAGUGAAGAAGGCCUUCGGGUCGUAAAGCUCUGUCAAGUGGGAAUAAAGUCCCUCAGUGAAUACCUGAGGGAUCUGAAGGUACCACUAGAGGAAACACCGGCUAACUCCGUGCCAGCAGCCGCGGUAAUACGGAGGGUGCAAGCGUUAUUCGGAUUU